GUUUCUCUUUCAGCUGCCAGCCCUUAAAUGAGGUUAGGUGAAUUGCUUGCACCUGUGCUCCCAUGGUUGGCCAUGUCCCUUCACCAGGUGUUCCAUCACUGGUUCAGGCCGUGGCUUAAUGAUUCCCAUACAUUUAGGCAGUCAUCUGCAGAACAGCUUUCCUCAAACUAUUUGAAUCCUUUAAUUCAUACUCUUCACUGAUUCAUAGCAAGCUGCAAAAAAAUUACCUCUCUACAUUUAAAGCUAUGUCUACUGCUAACAUUAAACACUGAAGUUAAUUGCCAGCAAAAUCCUUGCAGAAACAUCAUUGGUACUCUGCAAAAUAAGAAUGUCUUAUUGGAAGCACCAGUUUUGCCAGGAGUUGGUGAGAGUAUGCAGACAGACGAAAUGAAGUGUUUGGUUACUUGCAAAAUGUCCUCCCACACCAGCACAGCUGAAGACUCAAAGCAAAGGAAGAGUGAAGGAAGCCAAGGUCAGAAGAAAAGAUGGAGCUAGUUCAAUCCCGGUGAGUAUGGAGGAGCUACAUGGAAAACCAGGUGAAGGAAUAUUCUCUGAAAAUAAAAUGCUUUGUCUUUUUUUUUGGGGGGGGGGAAUUAUUUACCAUUGAAAAAUGGUGGCUACAAGCAGAAAUGUUGUGCAGUAUAAUUACAUGAAAUCAAAAAGGGAGAUGGGUUUGCAGAUAAGGCAUGUGAUAUUUGGUGCCCAAAUGUGUCUCUUAACUAAUCAACCUGACAAGUGGCUUGAACUAGGUGUGGUGGAUUAAAUAGAUUGACUAUUCCAUUUUAAAGGUGAUAUUCUCUAGCAGAGUUUAUUUCUUUAUAAGGAAGUAAGAUAGCUAGAAAAGAGUUAUGCAGUUAAAGAGAUUUUCCAUCUCCUACUCAUGAAAUCAGGCUGGAGAAAGGCAAAUGGGGUUAACUUUAAAGGCUAACAUAGGAAAAAAAAAUGUCAAACUUUUUAAAACAGGUUUCCGAUAGCCUGGGAUGGUAGAUUACCAUUCUACAGUCAGGUUGAUUAUUGCAAGCAUAUGUGUGCCUGUCUUGCUCCAAUUCAUCUCAGCUGUAACCUGUAAAAAGAGCUGUAAUCUCUCCUCACUAUUUGUCUUCAUUCAGAAAAAUUCUCAAAUGCAGUGGUCUUGGGGUGGAGGGAAUAAAGCUCCCCUGCAGCAGCUAAUACAAUACUGUACAAUUGCAUUAUUUCUCCCUGCUUCUUUUUGGUAUCUUACAGAAAAUCUCUGGUUGACCUUCUCAAGGUUUCUCCUAUGGUGAGCUUUUGGACUGACACUCUCUACUUCCCAGUGAGAUGUAGCUGUCUGUGCUGCCCAGCAUCAUUUGGUACAUUUAUAAGGCCUUUUGUGCUAGUACUGUUGUUUUGAGACUGUUCUGGAGUGGCUAUGUCUGGUGGCUGCUGCAGACGGACACAGCACCUGGAGAGAGUACGAACAGGCUGCAGCAUGGCCAUGCUCAGGAGCAGAAGCAAGGUGUGGCGGGCUCCAUGCUGAUGGACUGUGCUGAGGAUGCUGCUGCUCCGGUGUCCUAAAGCAGGGAUUCCAAGCUCCUGCCUCCCUGCAGGAGGACAAUCAAGCCGCCUACACGUAGCAAAUAACCACAGCAGCAGACUGCUGGAGUGCCAGAAGUACCAACAAAGUACAUCUGACUGCUCCUACUGGCAUGUCAAUGGUAACUAAUCUUGAGUGUGUUCUAAGGGUCAGUGCAUCUCUGACAGUGAGAGCUGCACUGCCACCGGUACCCGUGCUGGUGGGUGUUCAACCAGAAGCUGAACACAGUGAUUGUCAUAGACCACAUGGAUGGGGACCAAUGUCCUAAGUGCAUUGCUAAAACAGUAACAGGGAGGGAGCUUGCCGUAGAUCCAAGAGGUUCACAGCUCUUAAUUCUCUUUCAAUUAGUAAUAUCACAUUAUGUUCCCCAGAUUAGUGGUUCUUGGUAGCAUUGAGUACAUACAAGUACAGGGUAGGUCAGCUCACUGCUGAAGUAUGACAUGCAGCUUUCCGUGUGAAGGAAGAGUGUGGUUACAACUAAAAAAAAAAUGUUACUUUAACUUCUGUACUUGUUCAUAUUUUCAUAGCAUUUAAGCUUAUCUUUUUACUCUUAUCAGUUUCAGUUUAUCUAGUUUAGUGGUCAAAAUGAGCCAGAUGGAAAGGGAUGUGCUAUUCCCUAUCAUGUCCUAAACUAUAUCAACCCAGUGAGUUUAAUUGCCAAUCUAAAAUCUGAAGCUGGAAUCAUAAAUACUUGCUGUAUCUAAAAUACAAAUGAUACAGCUCAGCCUGUUAAUGGACUAAGCACGUAUUAACCUCCCAACAACAUGGCAGAGUUUUGGAAAGUUCAUGUGCAUGCUACAUUGUAGAUUUCUUUAAAGAUUAUGAGCGUAUAUUUCUAUAAGUUGUUGCAGAAAUAAAAGGUGCCUUCAUUAAAAAGAUAAUAAAAAG
rnacentral:lncRNA from 1 species